rnacentral:rRNA from 1 species
AAGGAAUGUAAAUUAAAAAUAUUAGGGGAGUAGUAGUUAUGUGCUUGAAAUUUAAAGAAUUUGGCGGUAUUCUAAUCUUUUCAGAGGAACCUGUCCUAUAAUUGAUGAUCCACGAUUAAUUUUACUUAAUUUACUAGUUUAUAUAUCGUCGUAGGUUGAAUAUCUUAUAAGAGAUAAAAUAUUCAUAAUUUAUAAUAAAUAAAUAAAGGAAAUCAGAUCAAGGUGUAGCUUAUAAUUAAGUAGAGAUGGGUUACAAUAAAUUUAUUUAUAUGGAUUUAAUAAUUAAAAUUAUUAAUGAAAGUGGAUUUGAAAGUAAUAUAUUUUAGUUAAAAUAUAUGAUUUA